AAGUGGCUACCCUUUUGUAGCGGCAAGCGCGGCAGUUCUCGAAUUCUCUUAAGCCAUCGCAGCGGCGGAAAGGUGAAUGUUUUUUAAGCUUACGAGCCGUGAUCAAGUGCAAGGUUACCGUGAAUCACUUCUAUAUACCUGCCGCGCGGCAUACACCAAAAUAGCACUUGAGGACCACGGGCAUUUUCGCUCUCGGCUCCGCACCUUGACAGUGAUCUUCUGGUGCUGGACGAAGGUUCAAACUGCCGACCCCGGUGCUGUCAGGGGCCGCGCAGCAACACGUUUUCGGCAUUUUCGGUCGCAGUUUCGAAUUGAGCGACCAAAGACGGCCUUGGCGUAUAGGCAAAAAAGCGCGCGGGAUGAAGAAUUUUAGGUAUGUGAGAGGUGCGCACGGAAUGCAGUCCAUCCAGACACACACAUAAGGAGCUGGGCCAGCCGACAUCCUAUUUGCGACUUUACAGCAUACACCCACCCAUCUGGAACAAAAGGCUUUGUCGAAGAAAUUCGCGUAUUCGAUUGGGCUGCGUUGCGAGCUCCAAUAAAAUUAUCUUUAUUCUUUGAGAAUAGCAGAGGAGGCAUUUUUUCUUUCUAUAGGUUUUAUUGUAACAUCAAUUUUGAUAUUUGAUGGAUAAUAAACAAAAUAAAUAUACAUAA